CCGAGGCCAUUGCUAUCGGAGUUCGAUUUAGCCAUGCUAGUCGCACGGGUUUAGACCCGUGGCGAAAAGCUCAGUAACACGUGGCCAAACUACCCUAUGGAUCGGAAUAACCUCGGGAAACUGAGGUCAAUUCCGAAUACCGCUCCUGCACUGGGAUGUGCGGAGCAAGAAAUGCUUCGGCGCCAUAGGAUGUGGCUGCGGCCGAUUAGGUUGACGGUGGGGUAACGGCCCACCGUGCCCAUAAUCGGUACGGGUUGUGAGAGCAAGAGCCCGGAGACGGUAUCUGAGACAAGAUACCGGGCCCUACGGGGCGCAGCAGGCGCGAAACCUUUACACUGCACGACAGUGCGAUAAGGGAACUCCGAGUGCGGAGGCAUAGAGCCUUCGCUUUUGUACACCGUAAGGUGGUGCACGAAUAAGGGCUGGGCAAGACCGGUGCCAGCCGCCGCGGUAAUACCGGCAGCCCAAGUGAUGGCCGAUAUUAUUGGGCCUAAAGCGUCCGUAGCUGGCCGGACAAGUCCGUUGGGAAAUCCGCGCGCUCAACGCGCGGGCGUCCAGCGGAAACUGUCCGGCUUGGGGCCGGAAGACCUGAGGGGUACGUCCGGGGUAGGAGUGAAAUCCUGUAAUCUCGGACGGACCGUCUGUGGCGAAAGCGCCUCAGGAAGACGGACCCGACAGUGAGGGACGAAAGCCAGGGUCUCGAACCGGAUUAGAUACCCGGGUAGUCCUGGCUGUAAACGAUGUCCGCUAGGUGUGGCUCCCACUACGAGUGGGUGCUGUGCCGUAGGGAAGCCGCUAAGCAGACCGCCUGGGAAGUACGUCCGCAAGGAUGAAACUUAAAGGAAUUGGCGGGGGAGCACUACAACCGGAGGAGCCUGCGGUUAAU
rnacentral:rRNA from 1 species